UACGGAGGGGGCUAGCGUUGUUCGGAAUUACUGGGCGUAAAGCGCACGUAGGCGGCUUUGUAAGUUAGAGGUGAAAGCCCGGGGCUCAACUCCGGAAUUGCCUUUAAGACUGCAUCGCUAGAAUUGUGGAGAGGUGAGUGGAAUUCCGAGUGUAGAGGUGAAAAUUCGUAGAUAUUCGGAAGAACACCAGUGGCGAAGGCGACUCACUGGACACAUAUUGACGCUGAGGUGCGAAAGCGUGGGGAGCAAACAGG
rnacentral:rRNA from 1 species